rnacentral:lncRNA from 12 species
AGCUAGUGCCAACUCUGUUUCCAAAUGUGACCUCAAAGAGGUUUCAGAGAAAGAAUGUAUUGUUGGCUAUCUGAAAUGCACAGAAUGGGAACGAUUGCUCCUCUAUAAUAAGAAAAGCGCAUGCAGUGGUCCAGUAUAUGGUCUGAGAAAUGGGAAAACACAGCAAGUCAGCAGCAGUGGAUGGGGCAGAGAGGAAGGACAAAUUCUGUGCGAGUAUCUAAAAUGUGGAAAUUACAUAUCACACUCCAAUAUAACCAAAAACACAGAUGAGUGGUGGAAGAAGACCUAUGAUUGCUCAGGGAAGAAGAAUAUUUGGGAAUGCGAGACCAAUGAUCAGUCCAACCAGACUCAGCAGUUAAACAUCCAAUGUGACAGUAAACCUCGAAAAAUUUUGCUCUCAGACAACUGCACAGGUUAUGUGUUCAUAAAUAAAGAACAUGUUUGUGCAUCCUGGUGGGAUGAUGGGAUGUCCAACAAGUUAUGUGACAGCCUCAAUUGUGGUAAGGCACUCCACAGCUGGGUCACAGAGUCUGUUAUUAAAACAAAUACCUGGCAUUUCAGCUGCACUGGCAAGGAGACACUGAUGUGGCAGUGUGGCUCUAGAAGUGACAGCUGUAAGAAAAUCCUCUCUGUGGCCUGCAAAGGUAGUGUUGAAUUCAGCUCUACUGAGAAGUGUGGCGGGAAGCUUGGGAUCAGGUAUAAAGGGCAAUGGGAAUAUGUCUGUGGAGAACUGGCUGAAGCUGAUACCAAGAAGUGCAUGCACCAUCUCGGAAACAAUACAUGCAGUAAUCGACCUGCUGAAAUCAAAUGUGAAGGUUAUACUCCAAAAGGAGGUAAUUCUUCAGUGGGUCUGAUAUUGGGUCUGUUAGGAGUUGUGCUGGGGUUGCUGAUUUUGUUUUUAAUGUGGAGAAAUCGGAAACGCCUACUUUUAACCUUAACUCAUUACAGAAAUAAAAAUGGCAAAGACGUCAACCCUGAUGUGAAUGAAAUGGAUCAGAUGGAUACAGAGGACAGAGGUAUACUGUUUAAUUUAAUUAUUAUUACUUUGAACAUUGUGAAUACUGAGACAUAAGCUAAUGCUUUCCUUAAUUGCAAAAUGUUAUUAUUAUUAUUUAUUUAUUUAUUUUACUUUUGUAUCUAAUAAGACAAAAGACAAAAUCAUUCAAACACACAGAUAGAUAGAUAGAUAGAUAGAUAGAUAGAUAGAUAGAUAGAUAGAUAGAUAGAUAGAUAGAUAGAUAGAUAGAUAG